UGGGGACAUCCGACAUUCAGUCGAUACUUCAAAUUGAUUGCCAAAUAAAUUAAAAGUGUAAGCGGAACAACAGCAACAACCACGAACGGCUGGAGAAAAUGUAUGGCUGAUUAUUAUUAUUAUUUUUUUGGCAAAUAUUUGCCCAAUCGCAGCUGAUAACGGCAAACAAUCGAUGGUGUGCCCUGAUUCGCAGGGAAAUUCCCUUUGAUAAAAUAAUUGGCAUAGUUUCGAUGGGCUCCCCCCCUUUUUUUUUUUGCCGGAAAAUGGGCUUGGCCAAGUUUGUUGCUCUCUGGCAUAAUGAUAAUGAUAUAACUUGAUACAACAUUUGAUAGUAUUAUCGAAUAUUUGCACACGCGUCAAUACUCGCCAUGAAGGGCACUUCAUGCCAAUAUUUGAGUUCCCGCUUGCGGUGUAAAUAUCUAAAUAUCUGCCGGAUUGAAUGGACUUGAAAGCGUCUGAUGAACUGGCCAGACAGUCAAGGAUUCCAGGUGACUGCGUAGUGAUUGAGUCAUCGGGCAAACCAGUCAUCAGCACCAUAAUGUUUAAAGCCUGUUUCUACUUACCAUCAGGAGGUAUGUUGGUUUAAGAGUGUCGUCAUUGCUUUGGAAAUAGCCUUAAAACAUCAGUUCUCCAGAGGUAA